UGAGGAACAUGACCUUCGGCGGGGGGUAGGCCGGCCCAACGGCCGGGUAAUACCGCGUACGACCACAUGGGGACAUCCCUGAGUGGUGAAAGCAGCAAUGCGCCGAUGGAGUGCCUCGCGGCCUAUCAGCUAGUUGGUGAGGUAACGGCUCACCAAGGCAACGACGGGUAGCUGGU
rnacentral:rRNA from 1 species